UACGGAGGAGCAAGCGUUACUCGGAAUUAUUGGGUCGUAAAGGGCGCGUAGGCGAUUUGAAAAGUCUUGUGUGGAAAGCCCCCGAGCUUAACUCGGGAAGUGCACAAGAAAACUGUUGAAUUUUGAGUUCCGGAGAGGAAGGCAGAAUUCCCGGAUGUAGCGGUGAAAUGCGUAGAUAUCGGGAGGAAUACCAGUGGCGAAGGGCGGCCCUUCUGGACGGAUACUGACGCUGAGGCGCGAAAGCGUGGGGAGCAAACAGG
rnacentral:rRNA from 1 species